UAAUACGAAGGUGGCGAGCGUUAUUCGAAAUCACUGGGCUUAAAGAGCAUGUAGGCGGCCUAUCAAGCGUUGUGUGAAAUCCCUCGGCUCAACCGAGGAACUGCAUGGCGAACUGAUAGGCUUGAGGCAAGUAGGGGCGAGUGGAACUCUUGGUGGAGCGGUGGAAUGCGUAGAUAUCAAGAGGAACGUCGGAGGCGAAGGCGACUCGCUGGGCUUGACCUGACGCUGAGAUGCGAAAGCUAGGGUAGCGAACGGGAUUAGAUACCCCGGUAGUCCUAGCCCUAAACGAUGUCAACUAGGCCGGAGGACUUCUGACAGUUUUCCGGCCGGAGCAAAAGUGUUAAGUUGACCGCCUGGGGAGUACGGUCGCAAGGCUA
rnacentral:rRNA from 1 species